UCCAGACUCCUACGGGAGGCAGCAGUGGGGGAUAUUGCACAAUGGGGGGAACCCUGAUGCAGCGACGCCGCGUGGGUGAAGAAGCGCCUCGGCGCGUAAAGCCCUGUCAGCAGGGAAGAAAAUGACGGUACCUGAAGAAGAAGCCCCGGCUAACUACGUGCCAGCAGCCGCGGUAAUACGUAGGGGGCAAGCGUUAUCCGGAUUUACUGGGUGUAAAGGGGGCGCAGACGGCGAUGCAAGCCAGGAGUGAAAGCCCGGGGCCCAACCCCGGGACUGCUCUUGGAACUGCGUGGCUGGAGUGCAGGAGGGGCAGGCGGAAUUCCUGGUGUAGCGGUGAAAUGCGUAGAUAUACGGAGGAACACCAGUGGCGAAGGCGGCCUGCUGGACAUUAACUGACGCUGAGGCGCGAAAGCGUGGGGAGCAAACAGGAUUAGAUACCCGGGUAAAC
rnacentral:rRNA from 1 species